rnacentral:rRNA from 1 species
UGCCGGGUAAUAAACCGGAGGAAGGUGGGGAUGACGUCAAAUCAUCAUGCCCUCAUGACCUGGGCUACACACGUGCUACAAUGGUUGGUACAACGAGUUGCGAGUCGGUGACGGCGAGCUAAUCUCUUAAAGCCAAUCUCAGUUCGGAUUGUAGGCUGCAACUCGCCUACAUGAAGUCGGAAUCGCUAGUAAUCGCGGAUCAGCACGCCGCGGUGAAUACGUUCCCGGGCCUU